GGCUCUCUGUUUACAUAAAUAUAGGGAGUCGAGCCUGCCCAGUGGAUUUUUAAACGGCCGCGGUACUCUGACCGUGCAAAGGUAGCAUAAUCAUUUGCCUUAUAAUUGAAGGCUAGUAUGAAUGGUUUGACGAGAGCAACACUGUCUCCUUUUUAUUUUCAAGAACUUAACUUUUAGGUGAAGAGGCCUAAAUUUUAUUGAAGGACAAGAAGACCCUAUCGAGCUUAAAAGACAUUAUAGAAGUUUAUAUAUUUCUAAAUAAAUUUUCUAUUGAGCUUUUUAGUUGGGGCGACUAAGGAACAAAAAAAGCUUCUUGCUAAUAAUAGACAGUCAUGUUUAGAUCCGAUAAUAAUCGAUCAAAGAAAUUAGUUACCGUAGGGAUAACAGCAUAAUCUCUCUUGAGAGACCUAAUCGAAAGAGGGGGUUGUGACCUCGAUGUUGGACUAGAAUAUCCUAAAGAUGCAGAAGUCUUUGAAAGGUCGGUCUGUUCGACCGUUAAAAUUCU
rnacentral:rRNA from 1 species